rfam:Lactobacillus graminis DSM 20719 NODE_110, whole genome shotgun sequence.
UCUCGUUUAAACAGCGUAAGCCGCCUCUUUACACUACUUGUAACUCCAUGGUUACUCCAGUUGAUUAAAGUCUUCAAAUAAUAC